rnacentral:rRNA from 1 species
UAGCUAGUUGGUGAGGUAACGGCUUACCAAGGCGACGAUCUGUAGCGGGUCUGAGAGGAUGAUCCGCCACACUGGAACUGAGACACGGUCCAGACUCCUACGGGAGGCAGCGGUGGGGAAUUUUGGACAAUGGAGGCAACCCUGAUCCAGCCAUGCCGCGUGAGUGAAGAAGGCCUUCGGGUUGUAAAGCUCUUUCGGCCGGGAAGAAAUCGCAUGGGCCAAUACCCUGUGUGGAUGACGGUACCGGAAUAAGAAGCACCGGCUAACUACGUGCCAGCAGCCGCGGUAAUACGUAGGGUGCGAGCGUUAAUCGGAAUUACUGGGCGUAAAGCGUGCGCAGGCGGUUUUGUAAGACAGGCGUGAAAUCCCCGGGCUCAACCUGGGAACUGCGUUUGUGACUGCAAGGCUAGAGUACGGCAGAGGGGGGUGGAAUUCCACGUGUAGCAGUGAAAUGCGUAGAGAUGUGGAGGAACACCAAUGGCGAAGGCAGCCCCCUGGGUCGAUACUGACGCUCAUGCACGAAAGCGUGGGUAGCAAACAGGAUUAGAUACCCUGGUAGUCCACGCCCUAAACUAUGUCAACUAGGUGUUGGGUGGGUAAAACCAUUUAGUACCGUAGCUAACGCGUGAAGUUGACCGCCUGGGGAGUACGGCCGCAAGGUUAAAACUCAAAGGAAUUGACGGGGACCCGCACAAGCGGUGGAUGAUGUGGAUUAAUUCGAUGCAACGCGAAAAACCUUACCUACCCUUGACAUGCCAGGAACUUGCCAUAGAUGGCUUGGUGCCCGAAAGGGAGCCUGGACACAGGUGCUGCAUGGCUGUCGUCAGCUCGUGUCGUGAGAUGUUGGGUUAAGUCCCGCAACGAGCGCAACCCUUGUCGUUAAUUGCCAUCAUUUAGUUGGGCACUUUAGCGAGACUGCCGGUGACAAACCGGAGGAAGGUGGGGAUGACGUCAAGUCCUCAUGGCCCUUAUGGGUAGGGCUUCACACGUCAUACAAUGGUCGGUACAAAGGGUCGCCAAGCCGCGAGGUGGAGCCAAUCCCAGAAAGCCGAUCGUAGUCCGGAUUGCAGGCUGCAACUCGCCUGCAUGGAGUCGGAAUCGCUAGUAAUCGUGGAUCAGCAUGUCACGGUGAAUACGUUCCCGGGUCUUGUACACACCGCCCGUCACACCAUGGGAGCGGGUUCCGCCAGAAGUAGGUAGCCUAACCGCAAGGAGGGCGCUUACCACGGCGGGGUUCGUGACUGGGGUGAAGUCGAAACAAGGUAGCCGUAGGGGAACCUGCGGCUG